GAUGCCAAUGGUGAGGCGAUCAGAUGGUAGCAUCAGCAGACAGGAGCUUUAAAGCAGCUAUCAGAACCAUGCCCAGGGAAGUGAAGGAUGUUCACAAUAAAUGAAAGGUAGGCAGUACCAAUAGAGACAGAAAAAAAGGGAAUUAAUAACUGAAAACAUACAAGGGUUGAAAUUUUAAAAAUGCUCAAUAGAAGGGAAAUGACAGAGGACAAAGAGGGUUAACCUGAAGACGUAUUAAUAGAAACCAUCUAAUCUAAAGAAGAGAGAGCGUGCUGAGAAAAAGGUGAACAGAGCCUCAGAAACCCGUGGGAGAAUUUCAAAAGCUCUAACAUAUGGAUAAAUGUGUCCCAGAAGGACAGAGAGAAUGGAGCUGAAAAAUGGCUGAAAGUCUCCCAAAUAUGGUAAAAGACAUAAACUCAACAGAUUUAAAGUAGCUUAAUGAACUCCAGAACAAGAGAAAUUCAAAGAGAACCAUGAUUAGGCACAUCCCAGUCCCACUAACUGAAAACCAAAGAUAAAGAAACUCUUGACUGCACCCAGAGAGGAAAAACAUGUUGCACAUGGGGAAGAACGAUUAGAACAAGCAAGCCCUUCUCAUCUCUGGAGGCCAUGGACACUGAAACGACAUUUUUAAAGCACAUAAAGGUGGAAUUCAGGUGGAAUUCUUUAUCUAUGGAAAUUUUUGAUCGUGAAAAAAAGACAUUUACAGAAGAAGGAAACUGGAAGAACUUGUUGCCAAUGGACCUGCUCUGUAAGAAAUGCUAAAGCAAGUUCUUCAGUAUGAAGAGAAAUGAAAUCAGUAGGGAACUCAGAGCUUCAGGGAUGAAUGAAGGCGACUGGAAAUGGUAAAAGAUCAAAAGCAACUAGAGAUGCAAUGCUUCAGAACGCAGAUGGCAGACUUGCCAGGCAGCCAUUCACCCUUAUGUGACAGCCUCUGCUUACACUGAAGCUUGUUUCAGUCCAGGUUCACAGACAUUCUAUCAAAAUGGCACACGUUUCUCUGUGGCUUCUGUGAAAGACCAAUGGAGGAAGUGCUAGAAAACGAGGCCAAAGCAGCACCGUGGGCA